rnacentral:tRNA from 1 species
CGGGGUGUGGCGCAGCCUGGUUAGCGCACCUGCCUUGGGAGCAGGGGGUCGGAGGUUCGAAUCCUCUCACCCCGA